rnacentral:lncRNA from 1 species
GGGGGCAUAAAAAGCUGCAUUUCCAAAAACGAAUGAUUUGGCACGAACAGACAAGUUAAAGUUACAAUACAUAAUGAACACGGGACGCGCAAUUUCUAUUUAUGAGUGAUACUGAGAGCAAAAAUACAAAGUUUUCGGACACAAUUUUCCAAAGAUGGUUUCACAUCAGUGCUGUUCUCAAUUAAUCUGUCAACCUUUUAUAAAACCACAGUAUUG